rnacentral:lncRNA from 1 species
AAUUACUCUGUCAUUUCACUAAAAUACUCCUACUUGUGCAGUUUUCUUGGUUGAUCUGGGUUCCAAGAGGACUUCUUCUUCAACCAGUUUGAUGUUAUGAGUAGGGCUAAUAAAUCGCUCCAGUCAACUGGAUGUUCCUUUGGAAGGUUACAGUAAAUCAUGGGCCUGGAUGUAAGCCAACGUUUCCUUCCGUGAGGCAAAUCUCAAAAGGUGGAACAGCUUAUUUUUGCCAGAGAUGGAGGCAGUGUGAACAUUUAAAGGAGAGGUGGGAUGUGAACACAGGAUGGCCCUGAUGCUGCUGGUCUGUUUCCCUCCUUGUCUAUAGUAAGUGCUGGUAUGGCCCAAUGACUUUUUGACAUGUGCAUAUAUGUGCAACACACAAAAAGGAAGAUAAAUUCCUCCCUCACCCACUUCUAGUAGGUUUUAGAAAUGACAAGGUGGCAACACAUUUGUGGUACUGCUGACAAGACAGUAGCUGAGCAGCACGGUUGUGGAAGCACAAUCUCAGAGAAUCCUUAUUAAGUCUUAGGACUCAUGACAGUUGCUAAUUUUGGAAAACUUUCAGUGGAGCACUUAACAGCUCAGCUGAACUUUGGUUUCAUCUAUUAGUAAUUACUUCCAGAAGUUAUCUUGAGUGAGAAAACAAAACCUUGCAGUCUCCUGACCAGGACUAUGGCAAUGUGAGAAAGGGCUCUGCUCUGCUGGCUGGUGCAAAGUGAAUGUGAUGGAAAACUGCAGUCACUGCAAGAGCUGAAUGUCCAUUUAGAUAAAAACAUAUUUGUUAGGAACAUGGAGCCUGCUCUGGUGGGUCCCAACCUUGCUGUGUUUACUGAUGUGCAAAAAAAUCAUUAAAAAAUGUGGAAGCUUG